GAACGCUAGCGGCAGGCUUAAUACAUGCAAGUCGUGGGGCAGCAUGAGUAGCAAUACUUGAUGGCGACCGGCAAACGGGUGAGGAACACGUACACAACCUUCCUUCAAGCGGGGAAUAGCCCAGAGAAAUUUGGAUUAAUACCCAUAAUAUAUUUGAUAAGGCAUCUUAUUAAUAUUAAAGCUUCGGCACUUGAUGAUGGGUGUGCGGCUGAUUAGAUAGUUGGCGGGGUAACGGCCCACCAAGUCUACGAUCAGUAGCUGAUGUGAGAGCAUGAUCAGCCACACGGGCACUGAGACACGGGCCCGACUCCUACGGGAGGCAGCAGUAAGGAAUAUUGGACAAUGGACGAAAGUCUGAUCCAGCCAUGCCGCGUGAAGGAUUAAGGUCCUCUGGAUUGUAAACUUCUUUUAUAUGGGACGAAAAAGGGCAUUCUUGUUCACUUGACGGUACCAUAUGAAUAAGCACCGGCUAACUCCGUG
rnacentral:rRNA from 1 species